rnacentral:rRNA from 1 species
GAUGAACGCUGGCGGCGUGCCUAAUACAUGCAAGUCGAGCGAACAGAUGAGGAGCUUGCUCCUCUGACGUUAGCGGCGGACGGGUGAGUAACACGUGGAUAACCUACCUAUAAGACUGGGAUAACUUCGGGAAACCGGAGCUAAUACCGGAUAAUAUAUUGAACCGCAUGGUUCAAUAGUGAAAGACGGUUUUGCUGUCACUUAUAGAUGGAUCCGCGCCGCAUUAGCUAGUUGGUAAGGUAACGGCUUACCAAGGCAACGAUGCGUAGCCGACCUGAGAGGGUGAUCGGCCACACGGGAACCGAGACACGGUCCAGACUCCUACGGGAGGCAGCAGUAGGGAAUCUUCCGCAAUGGGCGAAAGCCUGACGGAGCAACGCCGCGUGAGUGAUGAAGGUCUUCGGAUCGUAAAACUCUGUUAUUAGGGAAGAACAAAUGUGUAAGUAACUAUGCACGUCUUGACGGUACCUAAUCAGAAAGCCACGGCUAACUACGUG